CCUACGGGUGACAGCAGUGGGGGAUAUUGCACAAUGGGGGAAACCCUGAUGCAGCGACGCCGCGUGUGGGAAGACGGUCCUCUGGAUUGUAAACCACUGUCCCCAGGGACGAAGAUGACGGUACCUGGGGAGGAAGCUCCGGCUAACUACGUGCCAGCAGCCGCGGUAAUACGUAGGGAGCAAGCGUUGCCCGGAAUUACGGGGUGAAAGGGGAGCGUAGGCGGGAUGGCAAGUUGCGUGUUAAAUCUACGGGCUCAACUGGUAGUCGCACUCAAAACUGCUAUUCUUGAGUGAAGUAGAGGCAGGCGGAAUUCAUAGUGUAGCGGUGAAAUGCGUAGAUAGUAGGAGGAACACCAGUGGCGAAGGCGAGCGGCUGGGCUUUUACUGACGCUGAGGCUCGAAAGUGUGGGGAGCAAACAGGAUUAGAUACCCCUGUAGUC
rnacentral:rRNA from 1 species